UUGCCCUAGUAACGGCGAGUGAAGCGGCAACAGCUCAAAUUUGAAAGCUAGCCUUCGGGUUCGCAUUGUAAUUUGUAGAGGAUGAUUUGGGGAAGCCGCCUGUCUAAGUUCCUUGGAACAGGACGUCAUAGAGGGUGAGAAUCCCGUAUGUGACAGGAAAUGGCACCCUAUGUAAAUCUCCUUCGACGAGUCGAGUUGUUUGGGAAUGCAGCUCUAAAUGGGAGGUAAAUUUCUUCUAAAGCUAAAUAUUGGCGAGAGACCGAUAGCGCACAAGUAGAGUGAUCGAAAGAUGAAAAGCACUUUGGAAAGAGAGUUAAAAAGCACGUGAAAUUGUUGAAAGGGAAGCGCUUGCAAUCAGACUUGUUUAAACUGUUCGGCCGGUCUUCUGACCGGUUUACUCAGUUUGGACAGGCCAGCAUCAGUUUCGGCGGCCGGAUAAAGGCUCUGGGAAUGUGGCCUCCACUUCGGUGGAGGUGUUAUAGCCCAGGGUGUAAUACGGCCAGCCGGGACUGAGGUCCGCGCUUCGGCUAGGAUGCU
rnacentral:rRNA from 1 species